GUGAGAUGUUGGGUUAAGUCCCGCAACGAGCGCAACCCACGUAUUUAGUUGCUAACGGUUCGGCCGAGCACUCUAAAUAGACUGCCUUCGUAAGGAGGAGGAAGGUGUGGACGACGUCAAGUCAUCAUGGCCCUUAUGCCCAGGGCGACACACGUGCUACAAUGGCAUAUACAAUGAGACGCAAUACCGCGAGGUGGAGCAAAUCUAUAAAAUAUGUCCCAGUUCGGAUUGUUCUCUGCAACUCGAGAGCAUGAAGCCGGAAUCGCUAGUAAUCGUAGAUCAGCCAUGCUACGGUGAAUACGUUCCCGGGUCUUGUACUCACCGCCCGUCACACCAUGGGAGUUGAUUUCACUCGAAGCCGGAAUACUAAACUAGUUACCGUCCACAGUGGAAUCAGCGACUGGGGUGAAGUCGUAACA
rnacentral:rRNA from 1 species